AAUCAACGCUGGCGGCGUGCCUCAGACAUGCAAGUCGAACGCGAAAGUUUCCUUCGGGGAACAAGUAGAGUGGCGCACGGGUGAGUAACACGUAGGUAAUCUACCUUUGGAUGGGGAAUAACAACCGGAAACGGUUGCUAAUACCGCAUAAUGCAGCGGCACCUAAUGGUGACAGUUGUUAAAGCGGGGGAUCGAAAGACCUCGCGUCUGAAGAGGAGCCUGCGGCGGAUUAGCUAGUGGUAAGGUAAUGGCUUACCAAGGCUACGAUCCGUAACCGGCCUGAGAGGGCGGUCGGUCACACUGACACUGACAUACGGGUCAGACUCCUACGGGAGGCAGCAGUCGGGAAUUUUGGGCAAUGGGCGAAAGCCUGACCCAGCAACGCCGCGUGAAGGAUGAAAUCCCUCGGGAUGUAAACUUCGCAAGAACGGGAAGAAUAAGUAGGGGACAAUACCCCCUAUGAUGACGGUACCGUUAGUAAGCUCCGGCUAACUCCGUGCCAGCAGCCGCGGUAAU
rnacentral:rRNA from 1 species